UAACGCGUGGGGAACCGUGCCCUAUACAGGGGGAGUAACAGCUGGAAACGGUUGCUAAUACCGCAUAAGCGCACAGAAUCGCAUGAUUCAGUGUGAAAAGCCCUGGCAGUAUAGGAUGGUCCCGCGUCUGAUUAGCUGGUUGGUGAGGUAACGGCUCACCAAGGCGACGAUCAGUAGCCGGCUUGAGAGAGUGAACGGCCACAUUGGGACUGAGACACGGCCCAA
rnacentral:rRNA from 1 species